UGAUUUUCUUACCUUAUUUGGUUUUCCUAUUUCUUGAAGGACAACAUAUUUACUAGCUUCAAGAUUUGCUAGUAAAGCAAACCUUGAAUAAUAAUAAAUCAUACAAUAAAAGAGAAAUAUACCAAAAGAUACACUAACAUUUAACGCGAUUAGGUCAAUUUGACCUAUAUCCAGGGGCGGAGAUGAGUAAUCCACUGUAUAAAUGACAGUACAAAAUAUUGAGACAACGACCUCACAACGAGGCAAAACACAAGUGAUACACUAACACUUGUCUCGAAAAAUUCUCAUUCCUAAACAAGACUCUCAAACCAAUGGCAGGCUCAGAAUUUUAUACAAGUGGAUUCAGUCAAAGAUCACGAUAAUCAAUUGCAUAAGCACAUCAGUAAAUAAAAAUUGUACAAUGUUCUUGUUCAUCAAAUGACUUCAAAAUAGAGCAAUUUACUUAAGAAAAAAGGUAUGGGAAACUUUUUAAAAAAUAACAAAGAAAAUUUGGUCCUUCAAAAUUUUAUCUAUAUAAAUUAAUACAUAUUUUGCAGCAAAUUUAGCAAGUUUUUAAUAAAAAUGUAUUUAACAAACUUAAACCAUACUAUAACUCAAAGAAAUUUAAUUGAACUUAUAAUCCACUUUUAAACCAAAUUAAUCUAACUUUAAAAGGUUGUGGAAUUAAUAAUACAGAACCCCCACAUUGAUUAUUAAAAGGGGUUCAAGCUAACCGUAGGCAUAUCUACCAAUGGCUAUUGGCCUGAACAAAUAAGGGAACGCAACCAGCUCAUCAAAGGGGCCCAAAUUGAGAGCCCACCCUCUGAGAGAGGAGUCUCAGUCUGAUCAAAAUCAUAUGCCAAUAACCAAUAGCUCCAAACUAAAGAACAUAAACAAGUACCGAUGGUAUUGACAAAUGAAACACACCUUGAUGCCAAUGUACAUUCCAUAAUAAAAUUACCCUUUCAAGUGUGACUACGACUCAUACAGAUAUGGUUUCUCAUGAACUCAAAAUUUCAUUAUAUGCCAGACAAUUUCAGAACCACUUCAUCUAUUAACAAUGACACAAAUCGACUAGCUCACAUUUCUUAAUUCGAAAAGGCUUAUAAAUAAACUGAAAGUAAACCAGCUAGGCCUUUACUCACCUUCACCAUUUUGCCUUCUUCUUUUCAUAUGAAUUUGCAGUAUCUAAUACUCAAUAACUUAAGCUCAGACAAGCUCUUCUCAACACUAUCAGGAUCCAAAACAACUAGCAUGCAAAUUUCUUGAACCUCAAAAUUCCACCCAGAUUUCAACCGCAUGAAUUUGUUCCUUUAAUAAAUGGGAACAGGAGGAGAAAAUUGAAAGCAAACAUGUAAAUAUUGAAUGGAUUUUCCUAUCACUCACACAUGUGAAUAGAAAUAUAAUCUAUCUAAGUUAUACCUCAUAUUAGAACACCCUAUAUCAUUAUUCAUAGAACUUAGAAGGCAAAACACAUCAUCCACUCAAAAUCUAACAUUAUGUUAAGCUCUCAAAAGAAUAACCUCACUUUCACAGUUCAUGAAUAACCAGAUAACUUCAGUAACAAGUAUAUUACAAAUUGCACUAUACAAUGUAAAGAAAAAGAAGAACAUAAGAUGUAACUUCAAUUACAACUUGGAUUCAAUCAGCUUUUCAUUCAAAAUACAUGCUCGCAAUCAAAUUAUUGUCCAUGGUUAGGAAGAUUACCUGGAUGCAGCAAUAUAGAAUCAGAAAUUUAGCUUUGGACUAGGAAGAAAACAGCAGUGGAAAAACUCAGUAAUGCAACAGUUGUAGCAAUUGAAACCCACCCCAAUUCGGAAUUCUCUUAAACCCAGAUACACAACCUCAGAAGUUUUCAACAACUAUCAACUAUUCAGAAGAAUCACAGAACCAAAACCAAGCCUGAUUUUAGUAGUUUUCAACUAGAAAAUGCAAGGAAUUUAGGGGUUUUGCAGUCGUUCAGUUUUCAGGUUUUUUAAGUCCCUAAAAUCUUACUUGAAUAUCAAGUAAUGAUGCCUUUAUAACCAAUGCAUUAGGGCAGCCUGAAGGGAUUUAGUAUUGCAUUUAAAACCUUUUGCAUUUUUGGUUUUUACUCCCAUACCCUUAAUGUAAAUUCAGAAUUUCAGUUUAAUUCUUACCCCUGCUUCUAGGAAGCUUUCUCAAUCAGUUAUUUAGAGAUUCUCUAUAGAGACUUCAUAAUUUACCCCUUUAAACCUUGUUAAUUACCCUAAGAAAAUUCAUGGAUCAAUUUGAUCCAAAUACUCAAACCAGCCUGAUUUUAUAAGAUUUGGGAUAAUCUCUUUUCUUUAGGCCCAAGUCUAAAAAAAAACUCAGAAGAAACGAGAAGGCGGAAAGAGGGCAAAUGCUCAAUUGGGCCUGGUGAACCCAAAGUUCUUAACAGCCUAAAACUAAAAGGGAAAAGAACAUUAAACGAAAACUAAUCUAAUGGAUCUAAACAAAACUAGAGUAGAUAACAACUAUGUUCAAUCCUGAACUAAAAGAAACGCAUGCAAGGAUGACCGUGAGAAAACAGAAGAAAAACAGAAAAACAGAAAAACAGAAGAAGAUAAGAAAAAUGGAAAAAGAGAAAACACUGGACAUACCUAUCAAAAUUAGGUAAACAUCAGUUUUGAACCAAUCUUGAGGAGUCUUCAAUUUUUUGGCUGAAACAAACCCUAAUCGUGUGUUCUUGACUGAAAACGUGCGAUUAGAGUCAAAUUCGACCUCAAAUUCUCAAAAGCCUCGCUGAUUUGAUUUUUGGGAUUUAGGGUUCAUAUCUUUAAAUUAAGAUUCGAGCAUUUCUAGGGAGAUCCGAGGAAAACAGAGUAGGGAUAUGGAAUGAGGAGGUCUUGGGGGUUGUGUGAUGUUAAUUUAGGCUAGUUCGGAUGUGGCGCCGCCAAACGGAUGCGGUGGAAAAAGGGGGCAGUGGUUUAGGGUUAGGGAUCGUUGUCUCUGAGAAUAGGGGGAAUGAGAGAGACGAUGAGAGAGAGGAAUAACAAUUUGGACACUUAUAUACUAAGAACAACCUAGUUCCUGGCCGUAUG
rnacentral:lncRNA from 1 species